rnacentral:lncRNA from 1 species
AACGCUCCCUCCUCUCUCCCGCUAGAUAGCGCGCGUUUAGCAAGUCUGUACCCUCAAGAAUGAACAUAUAGCAAUAUCUGUUGUCCCCCCAUAACAUACGGAAAUCAAAAUCAGCUCAACUUAGAUGACUAGCUAACUCAUUUUUCAGAUAGCAUAUGUAAAGGGGCCAACUCAAAUUUUUGAGCCUAGCUAACUCAUUUUUCAGAUAUAAGCUUGCUUGAUUUCCAUUGUACCUGAAGAACUAGCUGUUGCUG